UGCGUAGGUGGUCGGGUAAGUCUGAUGUGAAAUCUCCGAGCUUAACUCGGAAAUGGCAUUGGAUACUAUUCGGCUAGAGGGUUGGGAGGGGGGACUGGAAUACUUGGUGUAGCAGUGAAAUGCGUAGAUAUCAAGUGGAACACCAGUGGCGAAGGCGAGUCCCUGGACAACUCCUGACACUGAGGCACGAAAAGCUAGGGGAGCAAACA
rnacentral:rRNA from 1 species